AGCAGGAGGAGGAGAGUUGAGCGCAGUGUAGUUGUGACUUGUGCCGUGCGCUCUACCCCAGACUGCAGGUGUGCGUCUUUCUCCAGCGUCCACCAUGCAGCCCCACUGCCUCGUCUCACCGCUGCCCUGGUGAAGGCUUACCGCUAAUCUGAAAGGAAACGGGUGCACACGGCGACGUCUGAGCGGAGCAAAAAGAUGCCGGAGAAGAACUGAACUGUUGCCUAGAGGCUUGGGGAGAAGAAGGAGAAGAAGAAGAAGAAAGAGGGAGUUGUCACCGGUCAGCCUCCCACCCUGUUGGCCCUCUUGAUAGAGCAAAGACGGAAGCCUUUGGAGUAUUCCAUUUUUUCUUUCGUUUUAUAUUUUUCUUGUUCCUCAUUGCAGUGCUGGGAGGCGCUCUAUCUUGCCAUCUAGUUGCUCUCUCCAUCAUUUGUCUCCUCAUCUAUUUCUCCAUUUACCUGGUGUACAAUUUCCACUACUUUUAUGAGUAGGGGAAAAAAAUGACUUUUUUAUUUUCUUAGAACAUUAUUUUCCUCUCCGUCUCCAUUUGGUGCCAUUUCUAUGUAUCUGUCUAUCGUUCCUCUCCACAUCUUCCUUAUCAAGUCAAGCUUCAAUCUGACGUGAUCUCAACUUGGACUGAUUCUUCUUCAAAGAAAACAGCAAAACUCAUCAAAGACACCUUUUUCCCCUCUUCCCCUUCCUUUUGGUCUUUCUAAACUCUCCCCACUCUCCAAUGCAUCACAAUAUCGUGGGACCCUUUAAUGUUACACUAGGAGGAGGGAGCAGAAGCAGGCGGCCAAAACAGCCUACCAUGACCGGCUAAGACAGCCGAAGGCAGAGCAGAGCGUUGCGUGGCAGAGAACCCAGAGGAUUGGCUCACUGCUCAUCCUCCCUCAUCUACACAUCUCCAAGGCAACAGUUUAUCACACCUUUUUGCAAGACACAGUGUUCGCGAAGCUUGGAUGAAACCAACAGACAGAGACGAUUGAAAGUACGUCCCUCUGUCGGCCUCUCAUCUUCUUCUCAACGCACUUUUUUUUUGUGAAUCCUCACACACUAAUACCUGACAUUUUUUUAACGGACGGAGGUCAUUCUAUGCUUCAAGCCCAGUUGGGUAGUGAGCAAUAGCUUAGUGCCUCAACAUAUUUAUUUGAGGCGUUAUUUCCUUGUAUUGAAAAAGCAAGGGAUUUCCCUGAAAGACGUUGCAUCGACUUCUCUAAAUCCACACAGAGUUCCGGCUUGGACUGCCACACAAUAACACUGUUCACCUCGCCAGGUGCCCCCCCCCUCUCCUGGGCCGCUCCCUUCUUCAGCUUCCCCUGUCCACCCCCCCUCCCACCCGAGGCUAUGAGAGGAGGA
ensembl:lncRNA